rnacentral:rRNA from 1 species
UGCCAGCAGCCGCGGUAAUACAGAGAGUGCAAGCGUUAAUCGGAAUUACUGGGCGUAAAGCGCACGUAGGUGGAUUCUUUAGUCGGAUGUGAAAGCCCUGGGCUUAACCCAGGAAUUGCAUCCGAUACUGGGUUUCUAGAGUAUAGUAGAGGGAAGUGGAAUUUCCGGUGUAGCGGUGAAAUGCGUAGAUAUCGGAAGGAACACCAGUGGCGAAGGCGGCUUCCUGGACUAAUACUGACACUGAGGUGCGAAAGCGUGGGGAGCAAACAGGAUUAGAUA